AUAUAUAAUUUCUUUUCCUCAUUUUAACAUGCUUUUCUACAAAGAUCACAGCAGCACUAAAAAGAACAGACACUAUCACCUGAUUAUACACAUUCCCAAACACAGACAGAAAGUUCUGGGCCAGUGGCAUCUAUUAGACCGGGAGCCCACAGGGGUCAACCUAGCUGAAAACGAACCAAUUUCCCUUAGUGUAAUCUUGCUGGGGGCAUAUGACAGUUCAUCAGAAUGGAUGUCUGCCGGGUCCGUGGUGGUGGGUGUGGCUGUGAGGGGUGUGGAAAUUAAUUCAAAUUAAUUUGGGUUACCACUGCCAGACACACCAAAAUUUGAGCUAAAUCAGCUGAUAUAGAUAUCCGAAGUGAAUAAAACUAGUUGGAAUUGGUUCAGUAUCAACCCAGGUAUCAUGAAUGAACAUUGCCAGACAGUUUCUGUGGUGGGUUACCACUGCCAGACACACCAAAAUUUGAGCUAGAUCAGCUGAUAUAGAUAUCUGAACUGAAUGAAACUAGCUGGUAUCAGUUCAGAUAUCUAUAUAAAACAGGAGGCAGAACUUGAUCACGUGACAGACGUGUUUACAAGCAGCCACAUGCUCAACUCUUGGAGUCAUGCAGCCGACAGUGAGCAAGGGAAAACAUGAAGGGUGACAGGAGGGACAGGAUAGCCAGCGACAUCUGCUGGCCAAACGGGGAAGGGACAUGAAAGACUAGGAUAACAGGAGCUGAUCCGGACAACAGGGUGCUGUAGAGUCCAAUACCUGUGUCCGGAUGGCAGGCACAGAUAUCAUGGGGUUCUGUAAUGUUUGGCACCCAAUACAGUGAUCCUCCCUUGUUAGGGUGUAGUGUAUACCCGGCCUAUACAAACCCACAGUGCGUCCCCUAUAAAACUCUGUCAAGUGUUGGUAAUGCUGUCUAAUGCAUCUAUGAGGCAUCCUUCUGUUGACAAAUUGCACCUUGGUGAUCAUUGGACUUUCCAGCAAGACAAUGAUCACAAGCACACCUCCAAAUCAACCAAAGCUUGGUUGAGAAAAAGAUCCUGGAACAUCCUUGAGUGACCUUCUUAGUCACCAGAUUUAAAUCUGAUUGAAAAUCUUUGGUGGGAUUUAAAGCAGGCAGUUGAAGCAUGGAGGCCAUCAAACAUCACUGAGCUAAAGGCUUUUGCAUGUGAAGAAUGGGCAAAGACACCGAUUCUCAGCACUUACUGAAAACAUUUGUUGGAAGUUAUAAAAGGUAAAGGAUGCUCUACAAAGUACUGAAGCUGGGGAUUGAAUAAUACUGCAAAUGUGUGGAAAGAGUUGCAUUUUUCAUUUGAUCUUCAAAGUUAAGUCUUUCAAAGUAAAUUGAAACUUCUGUUGUCAAAUUAACUCAGAUAUGUAUCAAGAAAUGUUUCUUGUUUAGUGAGUUUUUUUGUUAUUUAUUGUCUAUAUCUAUAUUGUUGAACAUUUCUGAUUGCAGCUGUAGUUAAUAAGACACUUACUAUCCUGCAGAUUAGUGACUUCAGCUUUUAGAGUUAAAACUUUUUUUUGGAGUUAAAAUAUUGGAAAAAAACUUUUAAUGUCACCCUUAGCCUCCAGUGCAAUCUUCCUUUCUACAUUCCUCUUAGGGAGUCUAAUGUUAUUUUUUAACUCAACCUGUAGACUUAGAUACUCCUGCUUUAUUUUGAAAUCAUUAGUUAUUUUCUAUUUGUGGAACAGAGCCCUUUUCCUCCUGACUUUAUUCUUAAUUUCCGCAGUAAACCACCUUUGUUGCAGUUUCCUAGAUUUAGUUUUGCUGGAAACAGGUUUGAAGUUUUCCAUUGUGCUUGAAAUAAUAAUUUAAAAAAUGCUUUUAAAAAUUCACGUCUCUUCAACAGUUUUGAUAUUUAACUCCAUUCAGUUUACAAUUUGUAGUUUCAGUCUAAUAUCAUUAAAGUUAACCCUCUUAACACUGUAUAUUUUUGCUUUGGACUUUGCUCUUUAGACAAACCUAAUUGUUGUGCAAGUAAGUUUGUAUAAAAUCAACUGAUUUGUUUGUUUUUACCAGGAUCAGAAACCAAGGACAGACAAAACUCUGUUAAAAACUCUUCAGGGGCGUCUUCAGGAGGAAACUCAGUGGUGAUUUGGGUGAUUGGGGUGAUUGUGGGGAUUGUGAUGACUGUGGGGGCCAUGGUGGGGAUUGCAGAGUUGUUCAAAUUACUGAUGAAUCGGCAAAAAAAUCAAACAUUGACCUGAUCAGGGAACAUCUGAACAUCCCCUGAUUGGAAAUGCUGCCUCUUGCCAUUCUGGGGAGCAGCGUUACUGAGAAGAUGGAGGGAACCGGCUGUGUGAUCAAAACCAGGCUGAAUAAUAACUGUCUGUUUUUCAUAACUGCUUGUCACAUAUGUAUGAAAUGUGAUAUUAUACUUUUAUCUACUCUGCAACUUUGGCUCUCAUGUUACCUGUAUAAUACAUGAACAUAAUGCAAAAUUUAAUAGGGCUGGGACUAUUGAUAACGCUCGUGAAUAAGAAAGUAAGUUAGUAAGUAAGCUAUAACCCGUGCAGUAACCCAUUACCCAAAACCUCCUGGUUAAAACUAGUUUAACUGAAUAAACACACCUGCAUUGUAACGCACCGGCAGUGUAAACACAUACCAUAGUGCCUUCGGAGGUGUGACAGUCCCAGAAAGAAGCUGUUUGCAAGCAAAUUUUUCUAAAUUGGUUAUUGUCCCAGUACUAAAAUUUUGCAAUAUGCAAAAAUAUAUUAUUUAUUUUUAGUGUAGAUUUAAUAUUUUCUAGCCACCGCAGUGGGUUUGCAUCCCACCUCCACUCUCUACUUGUGGGGCUUGAAUCCCCCUCUGCUCCAUGUGUAUGGUUUGAAUCCCACCUCCACUGUGUGAGAUUUUCAUGCGUCCUUAGCACUCAUGGACAGAGUGGUGGCUCUAAGGCUUGGGCUCUAUGCCUGCAAUUGGAAGGUUGCUAGUUCAAAUCCUGUGAAUACCCAGAGUGAUUCUAUUCCAUUGGGCCCUUGAGCAAGGCCCUUAACCUGCAAUUGCUUCAUCCUGGAUAUGACGUUAAUCUACAUCUAGCCCUAUAAUGAUGUUCUCCAGCUUACAGGGAAAUUUGAGGGUUGCUGGCAGGAUUGCCACUCCAGGCUCCGGAAAAAACUCAAACUGCUCCAUUCGGACUAGUGCGGUGCUGAGGUGUCAUUCAGGUUCUCAUGCCUGAGGUGGUUUGUCAUGUGGUGGGUUCGGCAACACACUGUAAUCAGUACCUGCUCCUUACCUCUCUCUUAGCACUAAGAUGCGGAGUCACCUGCCUGGUAAUGAACAAACAGACAAGGUCACUUGUAGUAUAUGUAUUGUUUAUAUACUACCAGUUAAACUGGAAAUUUUAUAACUUUUUAGGUAAUCUCUGUAUUGCUUUUUAAACUUUUAUAAUCACUGCAUUUUAAUAUCUUUCUGCUACAUAUAAAGCCUGAAAAAUCGAAAAUUUAAUUCUAGUUGACUUAAGUAGAUUUUUACAAUAAAGCUAUGUAUUUAUACUGUUUAA